rnacentral:rRNA from 1 species
UACAGAGGGUGCAAGCGUUGUUCGGAAUUAUUGGGCGUAAAGCGCGCGCAGGCGGUCUUCCAAGUCAGUGGUGAAAGCCUGGAGCUCAACUCCAGAACUGCCAUUGAAACUGUUAGACUUGAGUACGAGAGAGGUGAGUGGAAUUCCCAGUGUAGAGGUGAAAUUCGUAGAUAUUGGGAAGAACACCAGUGGCGAAGGCGGCUCACUGGAUCGGUACUGACGCUGAGGUGCGAAAGCGUGGGGAGCAAACAGG